rnacentral:rRNA from 1 species
CAGGUAGUUGGUGCGGGUAACGGCCCACCAAGCCUCCGAUCAGUAACUGGUGUGAGAGCACGACCAGUCACACGGGCACUGAGACACGGGCCCGACUCCUACGGGAGGCAGCAGUAAGGAAUAUUGGUCAAUGGACGCAAGUCUGAACCAGCCAUGCCGCGUGAAGGAUGAAGGCCCUCUGGGUUGUAAACUUCUUUUAUCUGGGACGAAAAAAGGGGAAUCUUCCUCACUUGACGGUACCAGAGGAAUAAGCACCGGCUAACUCCGUGCCAGCAGCCGCGGUAAUACGGAGGGUGCAAGCGUUAUCCGGAUUUACUGGGUUUAAAGGGUGCGUAGGUGGGCAGGAAAGUCAGUGGUGAAAUCUCCGGGCUUAACCCGGAAACUGCCAUUGAUACUAUUUGUCUUGAAUACUUUGGAGGUAAGCGGAAUAUGUCAUGUAGCGGUGAAAUGCUUAGAUAUGACAUAGAACACCAAUUGCGAAGGCAGCUUACUACACAGUUAUUGACACUGAGGCACGAAAGCGUGGGGAUCAAACAGGAUUAGAUACCCUGGUAGUCCACGCCCUAAACGAUGGAUACUCGACAUUAGCGAUACACUGUUA